GACGAACCGAGCGAACGUUGUUCGGAAUCACUGGGCUUAAAGGGCGCGUAGGCGGGGUCAUAAGUCUGUGGUGAAAUCCUCCGGCUCAACCGGAGAACUGCCUCGGAUACUGUGGCUCUCGAGGGUGGUAGGGGUAUGCGGAACUAUCGGUGGAGCGGUGAAAUGCGUUGAUAUCGAUAGGAACUCCGGUGGCGAAGGCGGCAUACUGGACCACUUCUGACGCUGAGGCGCGAAAGCCAGGGGAGCGAACGGG
rnacentral:rRNA from 1 species